GACGAACGCUGGCGGCGUGCUUAACACAUGCAAGUCGAACGGUAAGGCCCUUCGGGGUACACGAGUGGCGAACGGGUGAGUAACACGUGGGUGAUCUGCCCUGCACUUCGGGACAAGCCUGGGAAACUGGGUCUAAUACCGGAUAGGACCACUGCCUGCAUGGGUGGUGGUGGAAAGCUUUUGCGGUGUGGGAUGGGCCCGCGGCCUAUCAGCUUGUUGGUGGGGUGAUGGCCUACCAGGGCGACGACGGGUAGCCGGCCUGGGAGGGUGACCGGCCCAACUGGGACUGAGAUACGGCCCAGACUCCUACGGGAGGCAGCAGUGGGGAAUAUUGCACAAUGGGCGCAAGCCUGAUGCGGCGACGCCGCGUGAGGGAUGACGGCCUUCGGGUUGUAAACCUCUUUCAGCACCGACGAAGCGCAAGUGACGGUAGGUGCAGAAGAAGGACCGGCCAACUACGUGCCAGCCGCCGCGGUAA
rnacentral:rRNA from 1 species